GUUUGUGAACUGCAUUAGACUGUUAUAUCGUUAUAAAAGGAUACAAUUCGUUCACAAUGGUCCGUAGUGGAAAAAAUGGUGACCUUCAUCUUAAACAGAUUGCAUAUUACAAACGAACUGGUGAAUAUCAUUCAACUACACUGCCAAGUGAGAGAAGUGGCAUAAGAAGAGCAGCAAAAAAAUUUGUCUUCAAAGAAAAAAAGCUGUUUUAUGUUGGAAAAGACAGAAAACAAAAUCGUUUGGUAAUUGUUUCAGAAGAGGAAAAAAAGAAAGUCUUAAGAGAAUGCCAUGAAAAUGACAGUGGAGCUCAUCAUGGUAUAUCCAGGACCCUCACUCUGGUAGAAUCCAAUUAUUAUUGGACAUCUGUGACCAAUGAUGUCAAACAGUGGGUAUAUGCUUGUCAGCAUUGCCAAGUGGCAAAAAAUACAGUUAUUGUAGCACCGAAACAGCACCUUCUCAAGGUGGAAAAUCCAUGGAGUUUAGUUACUGUUGAUCUGAUGGGGCCUUUUCAUACAAGCAACAGAAGUCAUGUAUAUGCUAUAAUCAUGACAGAUUUGUUCACCAAAUGGAUUGUGAUUUUGCCUCUAUGUGAUGUUUCAGCAUCAGAAGUUUCUAAAGCUAUUAUCAAUAUAUUUUUCUUAUAUGGACCUCCUCAGAAAAUAAUAAUGGACCAAAGAGAUGAAUUCAUUCAACAGAUCAAUAUUGAACUGUACAGAUUGUUUGGCAUAAAGCAAAUUGUAAUUUCUCACACCUCUGGAACUGUUAACCCAACGGAAAGUACACCUAACACAAUCAAAGCAUUUCUCUCCAAACACUGUGCUGACCACCCAAACAAUUGGGAUGAUCACCUAUCAGCUGUUUCAUUUGCCUUCAAUGUAACUCACUUGGAACCUACU
rnacentral:lncRNA from 1 species